rnacentral:rRNA from 1 species
GACGAACGCUGGCGGCGUGCCUAACACAUGCAAGUCGAACGAGGUCCAUUCCAGUGGCAACACCGGGAUGUACCUAGUGGCGAACGGGUGAGUAACACGUGAGAAACCUGCCCCGAAGACUGGGAUAACCCUCGGAAACGAGGGCUAAUACCGGAUAUCCUCAUUCGAUCGCAUGAUCGAGUGAGGAAAUGGAUUCCGCUUCGGGAGGGUCUCGCGGCCUAUCAGCUUGUUGGCGGGGUAACGGCCCACCAAGGCAUCGACGGGUAGCUGGUCUGAGAGGACGAUCAGCCACACUGGGACUGAGACACGGCCCAGACUCCUACGGGAGGCAGCAGUGGGGAAUCUUGCGCAAUGGGCGAAAGCCUGACGCAGCAACGCCGCGUGGGGGAUGAAGGCCUUCGGGUUGUAAACCCCUUUCAGUAGGGACGAAAUUGACGGUACCUACAGAAGAAGCCCCGGCUAACUACGUGCCAGCCGCCGC